rnacentral:pre_miRNA from 1 species
CGAUGUUCAGUUAUGGAUACGUGGAAAUGAAGAAGAUAUUGGAAACGUAUGCCUAACUGAGUAUCAUC